rnacentral:rRNA from 1 species
UUUUACAUAUACACGAAUGUACUGAAAACUAUUGUUGUGCGCAAGCACUAAUAUACAANUUUCAACAACGGAUCUCUUGGCUCUCGCAUCGAUGAAGAACGCAGCGAAAUGCGAUAAGUAAUGUGAAUUGCAGAAUUCAGUGAAUCAUCGAAUCUUUGAACGCACCUUGCACCCUUUGGAAUUCCAAUGGGUAUGCUCGUUUGAGUGUCAUUGUACUCUCACACUCUCUGAUCCUUUGGGUUUGGAGAGCGGUGGACUUGGGUGCUUGCUGCUUUCCUUGUGGCUCACCUCAAAUGUGUUAGUGCAUCUCUUGAUUGGACAUAGUACGGCGUGAUAAGUGUCUUCGCCGGCACCUCAUAAGAGGGUGGCCGAUUGGGAGCUCUGUGCUUUCAAACCGUCUUCGGACAACUUUUGACAACUUGACCUCAAAUCGAGUAGGACUACCCGCUGAACUUA